ensembl:rRNA 5_8S_rRNA 5.8S ribosomal RNA
GAUUCUUAGCGGUAGAUCACUUGGCUCAUGCACUGAUGAAGAAUGCAGCUAGCUGUGAGAAUUAAUAUGAAUUGGAGGACACAUUGAUCAUCUACUCGUUGAAUGCACUUGUGGCCCUAGGUUCCUCCCGGGGCUAUGCCUGUCUGAGUAUCA